GCUAGAGUGCCAGUUGGAGUGGUUGGAAAUAAAUAUAUCUGAGUGUGUUUCAGCAAUGUCAUCUCAACUCCUACUCUGAAAAAUGUCAGAUGCUUCCCACCUCACUGUCGCUGGUGAGCACAUUGCAGUGUCAAGGAGAAGGCUUGGUUUUGCCCUCUGAGAGAGAAGCAGAGAUGGUAAUGCCCACCCUGCAGGGCUGUGGGCAUAGAGGCGCUGGAGAGAGACCAGCAUCCUGCAGAGUGCCUGGCCCUGCACAGGCCUACAGAGAAGACGGGGUAGGCAGCAGAUCUGAGCAAUGACCCUGCUCUUUGGAGCUUCGAUGGACGUGGGCGUGAAACUGUUGCUUACCACGGAAAAAGACCUUGUGGAGAAUGAGUUCAAGGACAUGCUUCUGGAGAUGGUUUACGAAGAGCCAGUUCAGAAAGUGAAGAUCGAAGAUCGAAGAUCACGUGGACUGAGCUGGGCAGAGCUCUGUGUGCGAGAUACAUCUACUUCUCCAUCCCUGGGCCAGUCCAUGUCACCUCAGUGUGCCACCACCUAUGCAGUUGACAGCCAGCGCUGCCUCCUCCCUGCCUCGGCAAGUAUCUUGAGACCUGGAUCCUGGGAAACCUCCCCCUACACUCAAUUUGUCAUCGCUUUGGGCAGAUUUCAAUCCCUAUGACUACUUUUUCC
rnacentral:lncRNA from 1 species